AACGAACGCUGGCGGCAUGCCUAACACAUGCAAGUCGAACGAGACCUUCGGGUCUAGUGGCGCACGGGUGCGUAACGCGUGGGAACCUGCCCUUAGGUUCGGAAUAACUCCCCGAAAGGGGUGCUAAUACCGGAUAAUGUCUUCGGACCAAAGAUUUAUCGCCUUUGGAUGGGCCCGCGUUGGAUUAGCUAGUUGGUAGGGUAAAAGCCUACCAAGGCGACGAUCCAUAGCUGGUCUGAGAGGAUGAUCAGCCACACUGGGACUGAGACACGGCCCAGACUGAUAGGGGAGGAAGAAGUGGGGAAUGUUGGACAAUGGGAGGAAGCCUGAUGAAGCAGCUCCGCGGGCGGGAUGAAGGCAUUCGGGUUGGAAAACGCUGUCGCCUGUGAAGAAGCGUGAGGGAGGGGAAUGGGUAAAGAAGCACCGGCUAACUAAGUG
rnacentral:rRNA from 1 species